rnacentral:miRNA from 1 species
CAAUGAAUUGGAGCCGUAAGUU